UUGGUGAGGGUAAAGGCCCACCAAGGCGACGAUCAGUAGCCGGUCUGAGAGGAUGAACGGCCACAUUGGGACUGAGACACGGCCCAGACUCCUACGGGAGGCAGCAGUGGGGAAUCUUCCGCAAUGGGCGAAAGCCUGACGGAGCAACGCCGCGUGAACGAUGAAGGUCUUAGGAUCGUAAAGUUCUGUUGUUAGGGACGAAGGGUAAGAAUCAUAAUAAGGUUUUUAUUUGACGGUACCUAACGAGGAAGCCACGGCUAACUACGUGCCAGCAGCCGCGGUAAUACGUAGGCGGCAAGCGUUGUCCGGAAUUAUUGGGCGUAAAGGGAGCGCAGGCGGGAAACUAAGCGGAUCUUAAAAGUGCGGGGCUCAACCCCGUGAUGGGGUCCGAACUGGUUUUCUUGAGUGCAGGAGAGGAAAGCGGAAUUCCCAGUGUAGCGGUGAAAUGCGUAGAUAUUGGGAAGAACACCAGUGGCGAAGGCGGCUUUCCGGACUGUAACUGACGCUGAGGCUCGAAAGCUAGGGUAGCGAACGGGAUUAGAUACCCCGGUAGUCCUAGCCGUAAACGAUGGAUACUAGGUGUGGGAGGUAUCGACCCCUUCCGUGCCGGAGUUAACGCAAUAAGUAUCCCGCCUGGGGAGUACGGCCGCAAGGUUGCAACUCAAAGGAAUUGACGGA
rnacentral:rRNA from 1 species